GUAAAGUCGUAACAAGGCAUAUCAAUAAGCGGAGGACCGGAAGUAAAAGUCGUAACAAUGCAUAUCAAUAAGCGGAGGACCGGAAGUAAAAGUCGUAACUAUGCAUAUCAAUAAUCGGAGGACCGGAAGAAAAAAUUUAAUAAUUGCAACUUUCUACAACGGAUCUCUUGGUUCUGGCAUCGAUGAAGAACGCAGCGAAAUGCGAUAAGUAGUGUGAAUUGCAGAAUUCAGUGAAUCAUCGAAUCUUUGAACGCACAUUGCGCCCCUUGGUAUUCCAUGGGGCAUGCCUGUUCGAGCGUCAUUUGUACCUUCAAGCUCUGCUUGGUGUUGGGUGUUUGUCUCGCCUCUGCGCGCAGACUCGCCUCAAAACAAUUGGCAGCCGGCGUAUUGAUUUCGGAGCGCAGUACAUCUCGCGCUUCGCACUCAUAACGACGACGUCCAAAAGUACAUUUUUACACUCUUGACCUCGGAUCAGGUAGGGAUACCCGCUGAACUUAAGCAUAUCAAUAAGCGGAGAAACCGGAAGUUAA
rnacentral:rRNA from 1 species